rnacentral:rRNA from 1 species
AGCAGCCGCGGUAAUUCCAGCUCCAAUAGCGUAUAUUAAAGUUGUUGCAGUUAAAAAGCUCGUAGUUGAAUUUCGGAAUUUGUCCAUUGGUCAGGCUUAACUGUCUGUACUGGUGUGACGAAUUUCUACCUUCUGAGGAAUCUUCAUGCCAUUUAGUUGGUGUGUGGGGGAAUCAGGACUGUUACUUUGAAAAAUUAGAGUGUUUAAAGCAGGCUAACGUCUGAAUACAUUAGCAUGGAAUAAUAAAAUAGGACGGUUUGGUUCUAUUUUGUUGGUUUCUAGGAUCACCGUAAUGAUUAAUAGGGAUAGUUGGGGGCAUUAGUAUUCAAUUGUCAGAGGUGAAAUUCUUGGAUUUAUUGAAGACUAACUACUGCGAAAGCAUUUGCCAAGGAUGUUUUCAUUAAUCAAGAACGAAAGUUAGGGGAUCGAAGACGAU